rnacentral:rRNA from 1 species
UACGUAGGGGGCGAGCGUUGUCCGGAUUUAUUGGGCGUAAAGAGCUCGUAGGCGGUUCGGUAAGUCGGAUGUGAAAUCUCCACGCUCAACGUGGAGGGGCCAUUCGAUACUGCCGUGACUAGAGUCCGGUAGGGCAGUGUGGAAUUCCCGGUGUAGCGGUGAAAUGCGCAGAUAUCGGGAGGAACACCAGUGGCGAAGGCGGCACUCUGGGCCGGAACUGACGCUGAGGAGCGAAAGCGUGGGGAGCGAACAGG